ensembl:lncRNA
UGAAUUGAUGGUGAAUGAGCGUGUGAAAAAAAAACAACACUUCAAGACCUUCUGCGUUUGCUAACAAUUUUUAUUUGAUAGUAAAUGAGAAGUGUGCCAGUCAGACGUGGCAUGGGCAGGGAGGUCCAAGUGCUGAUUAUCUGGAGCCAAUGAAAGUGAAGGAGGCGCCAGGUGAGGGUGUGGUCAGGGGAGGGGGAGGGGCUAAUGUCUUUGGUCCAUACUCAGUGGAGAUCGAAGAGGGCGAGUGAAAAGGAGGGGACAAGAAGGCACUUGAGUUUAGUUGUCUCAGGGGAAACAGAAAGCAGAUCAUCUGAACCACAGAGGGAAGAGGAGUCGGUUUAAACUAUUUCUGUAAGGUCCAGAGCUCAGUCACAUGAGCCUGAUGACACAGCUUCAUACAUAACGACCCACUAGGGGGCAGCCUAACAAGUUUACAUAUGUACAAGUUUCAAAAGGAGACGAGAUGAGAGCAGUGAGCAGUAAACGUUGUUAACCUGUUGUUCAUCUGGUUUUUCCCCUAAGACGACAACGGUUUAAAAAGAACUAGAACUAAAAGCUUCAAAAAGGCAGUACAAUGAAAAAGAUAGAACAUAACAGUCUCUUUGGUGAACACCUUUACAGAAAGAGAGAAGAAAUGUCCAAAAAUAGGACAAUAAAACAGACAAAAAACACUGAAAGGGAAAAAAAUUAAAAAUACAAAAUAAGGGGCGAUCUAUAAUCAGUGUCCAACCUUGUCACAGAAGGUUGUUCUGUGGUACGUGUGUGUGUGUGGAGGAUGGCGUGGGGUGUAAGGCUACAUUGGCAGUGCAAAUGUGGGUUGAGGCAUGAGUGAAUCCAAGUUCUGACUGACUGCUAAACCAGCCCAACACAAACAGCUGGACACAGCCACGUGGGAAGCCGUCCCUGUUAAGUCAUUUCAAUGAAAGUCCUCGUAGCUUUUAUGACAGUGUGGGCCAAAUUCUUCAUGGGAUCAAUUUGCCAUCCUAAACCCAACAGUGACUUAACACUACACCAGCGCGAGUGAGAAUGAGCACACAGUUCUCACAGCAAGUAGGGAAUAACCCUACCAAACAACUACUGUCAUACAGAACAAAAAGGAGUCGAGACAACAUUCUGAAACCACUACAGCUGACGAGUACAGCUUAGAGGCUCAAGAUUGUUCUAGAAAAAAACGUGUCAGCAUGUAGUGAGAAAUGUGCACAGGCGUAAACUAUAUGUUAGUGUUUAAAGUGACAGGCUCCUUCACUAAGAUCCAGAAUAGAGAAAAGAUGCUGACUCUGCCUUUGUGGGUGGUCACAUGGCUGGAGGUGACAGAGGCUCAACUGCCGCAUGGAGUUUGAGUAACCCCAGGUGGUGCAGUGGUUGGAGCAACUGCUGCAGCAAGGUGGCUACAGUGAGGUAUAUACUAUAUAGCCUAACGUUUCUUCAGACAUUAAAGAUGUGCAUUAAUGGGGUUGAACCCAUUUUCUUCAGCACCUCUACACUGUACUUUGCUGAACAUGCACAAAACAAAACAAAACAAACAAACAAAAAAAACCUGUUGAGGUUGGUCCUUCAGAAAAGAUCAACCUCAACAGGAAACUGAGAACUUCUUCCCAAGGCUACAUCAAGUUCCACAUGUCCAGACUUUGAAAGAGCAACGCAUCCUUCCAGUUCUCCAUGCAUACAGACGACUCCCAGCGUGGGUGCAGUUGGAUCUCCACCAUGAAGAUCAGCCAGCGUGUGAGUCAUGGGAAAGGGAACAUAUCUGGGAAGCACCCACGUCACAUACAUAUCUGAUCUCUACUUCUCCACAUUCAU